GGAAUCCGGUGCGAAUCCGGAACGGUCCCGCCACUGUGAUCAGGGAGUGCCUCCCGCUCGAUAUGCCACUGGAACAUCAGUGUUCUGGGAAGGCCGGGCAGGCGCGCGGAUCUGAGAGUCAGGAGAC
rnacentral:ncRNA from 2 species